GUACACGCUGUGACUAGCAUAUCAAUAAGCGGAGGAAAAGAAACUAACAAGGAUUCCCCUAGUAACGGCGAGUGAAGCGGGAAGAGCUCAAAUUUGAAAUCUUAAAGGGUUUCCCUUUACGAAUUGUAGUUUAAAGAAGUGUUUUCUGUUGAGGUUUUGGUAGAAGUUCUUUGGAAUAGGACAUCAUAGAGGGUGAGAAUCCCGUAUUUGACCUUUACUUUCAACUUUGUGAUACACUUUCAAAGAGUCGGAUUGUUUGGGAAUGCAGUCCAAAAUGGGUGGUAAAUUUCAUCUAAAGCUAAAUAUUGGCGAGAGACCGAUAGCGAACAAGUACCGUGAGGGAAAGAUGAAAAGAACUUUGAAAAGAGAGUUAAACAGUACGUGAAAUUGUCAAAAGGGAAGCGUUUGACACCAGUGUUGUUUUUCUGAAAAUCAAUUAAAGAACUGUUUAUGCUAAGCUGUUUAGACUUUAUCAGCUAUACUGUUUAGUUUGAGCUUUUCUUUAAUGCACUUUUCAGUUAACAAGUCAACAUCAAUUUCUUUUGCUGUAAAAAAGCUUGAGGAAGGUGGCUUGAGAUUCGUCUUAAGUGUUUAUAGCCUCUUGCCUAUGCAGUCGGAGAGAUUGAGGUCUGCAGCGUAGAUCCUUCGGGGCUAAAUGCAUUUGUGCUAAGUUAUAGCAUUUUAUAGACAACUUGUUGACUAUGAUUUGUCUUGUAGCUUACUCGCUUAUGUUAUUUUACCUACGCUUAGGAUGUUGAACUACUGAGACAUAGA
rnacentral:rRNA from 1 species